rnacentral:rRNA from 1 species
GACGAACGCUGGCGGCGUGCUUAACACAUGCAAGUCGAACGGAAAGGCCCUGCUUUUGUGGGGUGCUCGAGUGGCGAACGGGUGAGUAACACGUGAGUAACCUGCCCUUGACUUUGGGAUAACUUCAGGAAACUGGGGCUAAUACCGGAUAGGAGCUCCUGCUGCAUGGUGGGGGUUGGAAAGUUUCGGCGGUUGGGGAUGGACUCGCGGCUUAUCAGCUUGUUGGUGGGGUAGUGGCUUACCAAGGCUUUGACGGGUAGCCGGCCUGAGAGGGUGACCGGCAAAAUUGGGAAUGAGAUACGGCCCAGACUCCUACGGGAGGCAGCGGUGGGGAAUAUUGCAAAAUGGGCGGAAGCCUGGUGCAGCAACGCGGGGGGGGGGAUGGCGGCCUUCGGGUUGUAAACCGCUUUCGCCUGUGAAGAAGGGUGGGUGGCGGUAAUGGGUAAAGAAGCAGCGGCUAACUACGG